rnacentral:rRNA from 1 species
UACGAACUGUGCGAACGUUAUUCGGAAUCACUGGGCUUACAGGGCGCGUAGGCGGCUUGGUCAGUCCCGUGUGAAAUCCCUCGGCUCAACUGAGGAACUGCACGGGAAACUGCCUGGCUUGAGUUCGGGAGAGGGAAGCGGAAUUCCGGGUGUAGCGGUGAAAUGCGUAGAUAUCCGGAGGAACACCGGUGGCGAAGGCGGCUUCCUGGACCGACACUGACGCUGAGGCGCGAAAGCUAGGGGAGCAAACGGG